CUGGCUCAUCUGUUUGUGGUAUGUCCACUGGUUCAUCCAUGAUGUUUUGUGUAAAAAGGCUGUCCAUUUUUACAAUUACUAUAAAUGCUAGUUAUACUAAUCGGUAAUUUUCAAUGUAUCAUAUGGUUUAAAUAUUAUGUUUUUUUUAUAAAUAUGUGGAAAAAAACAAAAUUGGUGCUGCCUUCUUCGACGAAAAAAUAAAUGAUCGAAACAAGGUUAAGCGUUUAUCAAAGGAGAAUGAUAUUCCAUGUAUGUAUACAACAUACAACACAACCACCUUCAGCUGAGCUAAGCAGCAUAGGUUAUUGUUCGUUCAAUAAAGAUAUCAUUGUUUUCACAAAUGACAUUCGUAAUGUAUCCGUGUCCACUUUACGAAAACAUCAACAAUAUUAUGCUAACAACACUGCAGCUGAUUUUUAAGCCUACACGAUCAUUAAGAGCAAGUAGUCAUGAUACGAAAUUCAAUAAUGGAAAAUGAGGCAAAUAAAGUAAUUGAACGAAGGCAAAGACUGAAAUGAUUUUUAUUAGCUAAAUUAAUCGACCUUGCUGCUGACCCUCACGGAAACUGAGACUGAUCAUCUUGUUGAAAACGUUAAAUAAAUCAAAUGAUAAGUAACUCUAAUCUUUAAUAGAUUGUAGCCGGCAAUCAAAUCCGUAGUAAUCAGCAAUUAAUAUAGCAGUAGAAGAAGAAACGAACCGGAUUAAAUAAUAGCUGAAAAUAGAAGAUAUUCGUGAAGAAAUACAAUGAAAGUUUAUCUAUAUAAAUAAUAUUCAAUAAAAGUUGUAUUAUAAAAUAUUAUACUGAAAUAAAAUAUUUAUAUUCA